rnacentral:rRNA from 1 species
AGAGUUUGAUCCUGGCUCAGAAUCAACGCUGGCGGCGUGCCUCAGACAUGCAAGUCGAACGAUUAAGACUCUCUUCGGAGAGUGUAUAAAGUGGCGCACGGGUGAGUAACACGUAGGUAAUGUACCGGAGGGUGGGGAAUAACUUAGGGAAACCUAAGCUAAUACCGCAUAAUGCAGCGGCUCGACAUCGAGACAGUUGUUAAAGGAGUAAUCCGCCUUUUGAGCAGCCUGCGGCAGAUUAGCUAGUUGGUAAGGUAAUGGCUUACCAAGGCUACGAUCUGUAACCGACCUGAGAGGGUGGUCGGUCACACUGACACUGAAUAACGGGUCAGACUCCUACGGGAGGCAGCAGUCGGGAAUUUUGGGCAAUGGGCGAAAGCCUGACCCAGCAACGCCGCGAGAAGGAUGAAGUAUUUCGGUAUGUAAACUUCGUAAGAAUAGGAAGAAUAAAUGACGGUACUAUUUGUAAGGUCCGGCUAACUACGUGCCAGCAGCCGCGGUAAUACGUAGGGACCAAGCGUUGUUCGGAUUUACUGGGUGUAAAGGGCGCGUAGGCGGCGUGGUAAGUCAGCUGUGAAAUCUCCGAGCUUAACUCGGAACGGUCAGCUGAUACUGCUGUGCUAGAGUACAGAAGGGGCAAUCGGAAUUCUUGGUGUAGCGGUGAAAUGCUUAGAUAUCGUCCAGAACACCGAUAGCGAAGGCAGCUUACUAAGGAGUAACUGACGCUGAGGCACGAAAGUGUGGGGAUCAAACAGGAUUAGAUACCCUGGUAGUCCACACUGUAAACGAUGAUUACUCGAUGUUGGCGAUACACAGCCAGCGUCUUAGCGAAAGCGAUAAGUAAUCCACCUGGGGAGUACGCCGGCAACGGUGAAACUCAAAGGAAUUGACGGGGGUCCGCACAAGCGGUGGAGCAUGUAGUUUAAUUCGAUGAUACGCGAGGAACCUUACCUGGGCUAGAAUGCCCUUGACAGACUCAGAGACGAGUUUUUUCGCAAGAACAAGGAGCAAGGUGCUGCAUGGCUGUCGGCAGCUCGUGCCGUGAGGUGUUGGGUUAAGUCCCGCAACGAGCGCAACCCUUAUCUUUAGUUGCCAGCACGUAGUGGUGGGGACUCUAGAGAGACUGCCCGCGCAAGCGGAGAGGAAGGAGGGGAUGACGUCAAGUCAUCAUGGCCCUUACGCCCAGGGCUACACACGUGCUACAAUGGCGUCUACAGAGUGUUGCGAUCCAGCGAUGGAAAGCCAAUCACAAAAAGGACGUCUCAGUUCGGAUUGCAGGCUGCUACUCGCCUGCAUGAAGUUGGAAUCGCUAGUAAUCGCGCAUCAGCAAUGGCGCGGUGAAUACGUUCCCGGACCUUGUACACACCGCCCGUCAAGCCAUGGGAGUCGGGAGGACCUGAAGCCAGUUGCUGUGAGGCGCUGUUUAGGGUAAAACCGAUGACUAGGGCUAAGUCGAAACAAGGUA